UACGUAGGGUGCAAGCGUUAAUCGGAAUUACUGGGCGUAAAGCGUGCGCAGGCGGUUUUGUAAGUCUGUCGUGAAAUCCCCGGGCUCAACCUGGGAAUUGCGAUGGAGACUGCAAGGCUAGAAUCUGGCAGAGGGGGGUAGAAUUCCACGUGUGAGCAGUGAAAUGCGUAGAGAUGUGGAGGAACACCGAUGGCGAAGGCAGCCCCCUGGGUCAAGAUUGACGCUCAUGCACGAAAGCGUGGGGAGCAAACAG
rnacentral:rRNA from 1 species